rnacentral:ncRNA from 1 species
CCCGAAACCUAAGCGAGCUACUUGCGAGCAGCUACUUAUGAGCGAACCCGUCUCUGUUGCAAAAGAGUGGGAUGACUUGCUAGUAGAGGUGAAAAGCCAAUCGAGCUAGGUGAUAGCUGG